rnacentral:lncRNA from 1 species
UUCAUCACCUGCGUGCGCGAUGGUUUCGUCAAUGUUGUGCACGCUGUGCAUGGAAACCAGGACUCCAAGUGCUGGUUUGAAGCUGGGGUUUGCUGUUUCUUUCGCAGUCGAAGGGAAGCUAAGCUGGGCCUGGGUGCCGUGAGCAACUUGUUUCGUCGUGGCCUUUGACAAGCUUGUGUGAGAUGCGUGUCAUGCUGAGUACCUUGGUAUGCAGUGGACCUAACUGCGAGGUCUCGGUUGGAAUGAUUUCAUGUUGGCGUGGCGGCUACGUGUUAUUUUUAUUGCUGGAAAUUAGUUUGUUACUUUUCAUGAAAGUUAUUUGUGUUUCUUUAGCCGGAGACUUUGGAUUUGGUUGGUUUUAUAUUAAUAGAAGAAGGCAGGUGCAAUAGGCAAUUAUAGAUAGGAUUUUGAUUACUUUAGGAGAAUAUUGUUUUUGCUUGUAGUUAUAGUUCUUGCUUCUAAUUAGCAUCUAAUGUAGAGGUUAAAAGUAUUUGAAUCAUUACCUCAAUAAGAUACAAUAAGUGUAUAAGUUAGUUAUUUGAAGUAUUAGUAGUUGAGAAUUAGAAUAC